CCCAAUAAAAUAAAACCCC
rnacentral:tRNA from 1 species